rnacentral:rRNA from 1 species
UACAGAGGUCUCAAGCGUUGUUCGGAUUCAUUGGGCGUAAAGGGUGCGUAGGUGGCGCCGUAAGUCAGGUGUGAAAUUUCGGAGCUUAACUCCGAAACUGCAUUUGAUACUGCGGUGCUUGAGGACUGGAGAGGAGACUGGAAUUUACGGUGUAGCAGUGAAAUGCGUAGAGAUCGUAAGGAAGACCAGUGGCGAAGGCGG